rnacentral:pre_miRNA from 9 species
UCUCGAUAGCGUAAAAGUUAGCUCAAAUUUGUAUAGAAUGGGAUCGUUUUCCUACGUUUGCCGCUAGGGGCGCUGUUCCAACUGCAUACAAAAUUAGGUUAACUUUUACGCUAUCGA